UACGAAGGGUGCAAACGUUGCUCGGAAUUACUGGGCGUAAAGGGUUCGUAGGCGGUGCGGCAAGUUGGGAGUGAAAUCUCUGGGCUUAACUCAGGGGCUGCUUUCAAAACUGCCGCGCUCGAGUGCGAGAGAGGUCAGUGGAAUUGCAGGUGUAGCGGUGAAAUGCGUAGAUAUCUGCAGGAACACCCGUGGCGAAGGCGGCUGACUGGAUCGCAACUGACGCUGAGGAACGAAAGCUAGGGGAGCAAACAGG
rnacentral:rRNA from 1 species